UGUCACAUAAAUCUCACAUCCGUCACAUAAAUAUCAUGCACAUCACAUAAAUGUCACAUUUAAACAAAUCCAUAAGUACAAAUCCACAAGUUCAUUACAAGUCCAUCUAAAUAAAUCCACAAGUCCAUCACAAGUCCAAAUAAGUAACACAAGUGCAUCGUAUGAGAACUGCGACUGUGUUGUACCAUGACACUGCGACUGUGGUGUACCAACCAAACAAAUACAUGCAAAGAGAACUACCCGGCUCCCCAAGGUCCCCACUGCGACUGUGGUGUACCAUGACCUGGAAUAUUCGAACCGGCGGAUGGAGGCUGCACAAAAGAGAUAUAGUAUUAUGGAGUACCGCGCGCGGAAGGUGGAGGUGGAGGUGGAUGAAUAGCGAAUAGCGAAGGUGGCGCAGCUAAACCCGUAUGUUGCCCAAGAAAUUGCAUGUACUGUAGAAUCUCCGCCAUCUGCUGUUGUUGUCGAUGCUGCUCCUCCACACGCUGGACCUCCAUAGCCUCUAUCCUCUGUCGAUCGGCCUCCCGCUGGGCCUCUAAAGCCUGGACCUGGGCCUACAACAUUACCAUAAUAUUUGAAUAAUGAGAAGCGAAGAUAUGUAAAUAUCAAGAAACAACUAAUAAAAUAGAAAUCACCUGAAGUGAAACAA